GAUGAAGAACGUAGCGAAAUGUGAUACUUGGUGUGAAUUGCAGAAUCCCGUGAACCAUCGAGUCUUUGAACGCAAGUUGCGCCCGAAGCCACUAGGCCGAGGGCACGCCUGCCUGGGCGUCACACGCCGUUGCCCCCCCAUCUACUCCUUCGGGAUUGCGGGGGGGCGGAUGAUGGCCUCCCGUGCGCCUAGCCGCGCGGUUGGCAUAAAUACCAAGUCCUCGGCGACGCACGCCACGACAAUCGGUGGUUGCGAAACCUCGGUUGCCCGUCGUGUGCGUUCGUCGCGCAUCGAGGGCUCGAAAAAAUGCUCGGCUCCGGCUGGGCUUUCAACGCGACCCCAGGUCAGGUGGGGUUACCCGCUGAAUUUAAGCAUAUCAAUAAGCGGAGGA
rnacentral:misc_RNA from 1 species